UACGUAGGGGGGCAAGCGUUGUCCGGAUUUAUUGGGCGUAAAGAGCUCGUAGGCGGUUUGGUAAGUCUGGUGUGAAAUCUCCACGCUCAACGUGGAGGGCCACCCGAUACUGCCAUGCUGGAGGUCCGGUAGAGGAGUGUGGAAUUCCCGGUGUAGCGGUGAAAUGCGCAGAUAUCGGGAGGAACACCCGUAGCGAAGGCGGCACCUCUGGGCCGGAACUGACGCGUCGAGGGA
rnacentral:rRNA from 1 species